GGGCGAAUGGUCUAGGGGUAUGAUACUCCCUUCGCAUAACUACUCUGAGAUUCUUCAGACAUUAGUGACUGGGAGGGGUCCGGGGUUCAAUUCCCCGUUCGUCCA